CGCAUGGUAGGAGAGCGUUCCGUAAGCCUGCGAAGGUGCCUUGUAAAGGGUGCUGGAGGUAUCGGAAGUGCGAAUGCUGACAUGAGUAGCGAUAAAGGGGGUGAAAGGCCCCCUCGCCGUAAGCCCAAGGUUUCCUACGCAACGUUCAUCGGCGUAGGGUGAGUCGGCCCCUAAGGCGAGGCAGAAAUGCGUAGCUGAUGGGAAGCAGGUCAAUAUUCCUGCACCAUUGUUAGAUGCGAUGGGGGGACGGAUCGCGGAAGGUUGUCCGGGUGUUGGAAGUCCCGGUCGCUGCAUUGGAGAAGGCACUUAGGCAAAUCCGGGUGCGUAAUUCAAGGGUGUGGCGCGAGCUCCUUCGGGAGCGAAGCAAUUGGAAGUGGUUCCAAGAAAAGCCUCUAAGCUUCAGUCUAACGAUGACCGUACCGCAAACCGACACAGGUGGGCGAGAUGAGUAUUCUAAGGCGCUUGAGAGAACUCGGGAGAAGGAACUCGGCAAAUUGGUACCGUAACUUCGGGAUAAGGUACGCCCUUGUAGCUUGACUGGCCUGCGCCAGGAGGGUGAAGGGGUUGCAAUAAACUGGUGGCUGCGACUGUUUAAUAAAAACACAGCACUCUGCAAACACGAAAGUGGACGUAUAGGGUGUGACGCCUGCCCGGUGCCGGAAGAUUAAAUGAUGGGGUGCAAGCUCUUGAUUGAAGUCCCGGUAAACGGCGGCCGUAACUAUAACGGUCCUAAGGUAGCGAAAUUCCUUGUCGGGUAAGUUCCGACCUGCACGAAUGGCGUAACGAUGGCCACACUGUCUCCUCCCGAGACUCAGCGAAGUUGAAGUGUUUGUGAUGAUGCAAUCUACCCGCGGCUAGACGGAAAGACCCCAUGAACCUUUACUGUAGCUUUGCAUUGGACUUUGAACCGAUCUGUGUAGGAUAGGUGGGAGGCUAUGAAACCGGAACGCUAGUUUCGGUGGAGCCGUCCUUGAAAUACCACCCUGGUUUGUUUGAGGUUCUAACCUUGGCCCGUGAUCCGGGUCGGGGACAGUGCAUGGUAGGCAGUUUGACUGGGGCGGUCUCCUCCCAAAGCGUAACGGAGGAGUACGAAGGUACGCUAGGUACGGUCGGAAAUCGUGCUGAUAGUGCAAUGGCAUAAGCGUGCUUAACUGCGAGACCGACAAGUCGAGCAGGUGCGAAAGCAGGUCAUAGUGAUCCGGUGGUUCUGUAUGGAAGGGCCAUCGCUCAACGGAUAAAAGGUACUCUGGGGAUAACAGGCUGAUACCGCCCAAGAGUUCAUAUCGACGGCGGUGUUUGGCACCUCGAUGUCGGCUCAUCUCAUCCUGGGGCUGUAGCCGGUCCCAAGGGUAUGGCUGUUCGCCAUUUAAAGAGGUACGUGAGCUGGGUUUAAAACGUCGUGAGACAGUUUGGUCCCUAUCUGCCGUGGGCGUUGGAUAUUUGAAGGGGGCUGCUCCUAGUACGAGAGGACCGGAGUGGACGAACCUCUGGUGUACCGGUUGUCACGCCAGUGGCAUCGCCGGGUAGCUAUGUUCGGAAGAGAUAACCGCUGAAAGCAUCUAAGCGGGAAACUCGCCUUAAGAUGAGAUAUCCCUGGGGACUAGAUCCCCUUGAAGGGUCGUUCGAGACCAGGACGUUGAUAGGUCAGGUGUGUAAGCGCAGUAAUGCGUUCAGCUAACUGAUACUAAUUGCCCGUAAGGCUUGAUCCU
rnacentral:rRNA from 1 species